rnacentral:tRNA from 1 species
GGGCUUGUAGCUCAGUGGUUCAGAGCGACCGGCUCAUAACCGGUUGGUCGCAGGUUCGAUCCCUGCCAAGCCCA